rnacentral:rRNA from 1 species
AAUCAACGCUGGCGGCGUGCCUAACACAUGCAAGUCGAACGCGAAAGCCCUUUCGGGGGUAAGUAGAGUGGCGUCCGGGUGAGUAACACGUAGGUAAUCUGCCUUCGGGUGGGGAAGUAACCAGUCGAAAGAUUGGCUAAUACCGCAUAAUGCAGCGGCACCUAAUGGUGAUUAGUUGUUAAAGCGGGGGAGUCGUAAGACCUCGCGCCUGAAGAGGAG